rnacentral:lncRNA from 1 species
CGAGACCCCCAUCAGAGCCUGGCAGUUAGACUCACAGGUGCUCCUUACCUUGGACAGAAGCCCCAAGUGGGCGGAUGCCUCCCUCACUGGAGCUUAGGACAGACUCACUGCCAGUAGCUCAGGGAGGUGCCACCUUCUGAGAAGAGGGAACUUUAGAGCAGAGACAGGAGUGCAGCUCUCACAGCUGGCUGUAUCGAGCCACUCAUAUCUCAAAGUGAAAGCAGUUUUUCUGUUAACAAGAGACUGGAUGCAAGGGACAGGGGAAUGAGAAGCUGCCAGGGAACCUGCAGCGCUCUUGGCCGGCUACUCGUACAGCCUCCUCUUCUUUUUUUUUUAGCAGCCACAACAUUUAGGCCACUGACUUUUUAGGGACCACUCCUUUUUUGCUCCGGAUUUCCGAGCUCAUUUCUCUCUAGGCUCCAGGUCCAUGGGCGGGACCACUGUGACCCGCUGGCUGCUCUCUGGAGUUGGAGUGGGAGGCAGGGCAGCUGAGGAUCUGAAAGGAAGUGGUCAGCAUAGGGAUCUGACAGGAUUCUUAGGCUUAUUUCAGAAGGCAUAACUCAAAAACAGUCGUCAGUCAUCAGUCCAAGUCCGAACACAGGAGACACACAAGACACACACAGAAUCCGUAAACCACAAACAAAAACAAGAUAUCCAUUCUUCA